rnacentral:rRNA from 1 species
GACGAACGCUGGCGGCGUGCCUAAUACAUGCAAGUCGAGCGCAGGAAACUGACGGAACUCUUCGGAGGGAAGGCAGCGGAAUGAGCGGCGGACGGGUGAGUAACACGUAAGGAACCUGCCUCAAGGAUUGGGAUAACUCCGAGAAAUCGGAGCUAAUACCGGAUAGUUCAUCGGACCGCAUGGUCCGUUGAUGAAAGGCGCUCCGGCGUCACCUUGAGAUGGCCUUGCGGUGCAUUAGCUAGUUGGUGGGGUAACGGCCCACCAAGGCGACGAUGCAUAGCCGACCUGAGAGGGUGAUCGGCCACACUGGGACUGAGCCACGGCCCAGACGCCUACGGGAGGCAGCAGUAGGGAAUCUUCCACAAUGGACGAAAGUCUGAUGGAGCAACGCCGCGUGAGUGAUGAAGGUUUUCGGAUCGUAAAACUCUGUUGUAAGGGAAGAACACGUACGAGAGGGAAUGCUCGUACCUUGACGGUACCUUACGAGAAAGCCACGGCUGACUACGUGCCAGCAGCCGCCGUAAAAC